GAUGGACGCUGGCGGCGUGCCUAAUACAUGCAAGUCGAGCGAACAGAUAAGGAGCUUGCUCCUUUGACGUUAGCGGCGGACGGGUGAGUAACACGUGGGUAACCUACCUAUAAGACUGGAAUAACUCCGGGAAACCGGGGCUAAUGCCGGAUAACAUUUAGAACCGCAUGGUUCUAAAGUGAAAGAUGGUUUUGCUAUCACUUAUAGAUGGACCCGCGCCGUAUUAGCUAGUUGGUAAGGUAACGGCUUACCAAGGAAACGAUACGUAGCCGACCUGAGAGGGUGAUCGGCCACACUGGAACUGAGACACGGUCCAGACUCCUACGGGAGGCAGCAGUAGGGAAUCUUCCGCAAUGGGCGAAAGCCUGACGGAGCAACGCCGCGUGAGUGAUGAAGGUCUUCGGAUCGUAAAACUCUGUUAUUAGGGAAGAACAAAUGUGUAAGUAACUGUGCACGUCUUGACGGUACCUAAUCAGAAAGCCACGGCUAACUACGUG
rnacentral:rRNA from 1 species